rnacentral:rRNA from 1 species
GACGGAGGAUGCAAGUGUUAUCCGGAAUCACUGGGCGUAAAGCGUCUGUAGGUGGUUUAAAAAGUCUGCUGUUAAAAAUUGAAGCUUAACUUCAAAGAUGCCGUAGAAACUUUUAAACUUGAGUAUGGUAGGGGUAGAGGGAAUUUCCAGUGGAGCGGUGAAAUGCGUAGAUCCUGGAAAGACCACCAAUGGCGAAGGCACUCUACUGGGCCAUUACUGACACUGAGAGACGAAAGCUAGGGGAGCAAAUGGG